UCGUAACAAGGUUUCCGUAGGUGAACCUGCGGAAGGAUCAUUGAUGAAUUGUAUGGCCUGGGUUGUGCUGAUCCUUUGGAUACCGUGCACGCCUUUGCCCCUUCAAUUUCAAUCUUUAUACCCCUGUGCACCUACCGCAAGGUUGUCUCUCCGGAGCAAUCUUGCCUCCUUUGUCACAUAAAUGCUUGCAAGUCAUAGAGUGUUGUUUUGUUACAUCUUCGCUGUAAAAAGCGUGGGUAAAUAAACCUUUACAACUUUCGACAACGGAUCUCUUGGCUCUCGCAUCGAUGAAGAACGCAGCGAAAUGCGAUAAGUAAUGUGAAUUGCAGAUUUUCAGUGAAUCAUCGAAUCUUUGAACGCACCUUGCGCUCUUUGGUAUUCCGAGGAGCAUGCCUGUUUGAGCGUCAUUAAAUUCCUCAACCCUGAGAGGGAAAAUCAUUUUCCCGAUUCGGAGGCUUGGAUGGUGGAGUGUGCCGGAUCCCUUGUUUGCAUUCGGGUCGGCUCCUCUGAAAUGCAUUUGCAGAAUUGGCUUUGCCCAUAUUUUGGUUUAUCGAUGUGAUAAUAUUGUUGCAUCGUUGACCUGGGGGGAAACAGCAGUUUGCAUUAUAAUAAUAAACUGUCUUCGGACGGUGGCUCAACCUUGACCUCAAAUCAGGUAGGUAUUACCCGCUGAACUUAAGCAUAUCAAUAAGCGGAGGAAAAGAAACUAACAAGGAUUCCCCUAGUAACUGCGAGUGAAGCGGGAAAAGCUCAAAUUUGAAAUCUGACG
rnacentral:rRNA from 1 species